GGGGGAUUUGGAUUUUGGGGAAGAGCAUUCAAUUCGAAUAUCACUAUCACACGAUUUCAAAAGGCAUGCGUUACGCUAUUCAGAUUCUCACGUCACUCUUUAUUUUAAAAAAAAGAUUUCUCUCACUGACCAUUGUUGCAGUGAGCAGUGAGAAGUGAGAAGAAGGCACAUUUUGCAUGGUUUUGAUGAUCAAACAAACAAAGUUUUUAAAAAAAAUUUCUCGAUUGUGUCGUUUUUUUGGAUAUCCAUAUUUUGCAUGCUCCCCA
rnacentral:lncRNA from 1 species